CCCUUAGAUGUUCUGGGCCGCACGCGUGCUACACUGAGUGGAUCAGCGGGUCAGGUUGCGCGAAAGCGUUUCCUAAUCUUUAAAUCCGCUCGUGAUGGGGAUUGACGGUUGCAAUUUUCUGUCAUGAACGAGGAAUACCUUGUAAGCGCGGGUCAUCAUCCCGCGCUGAAUACGUCCCUGCCCUUUGUACACACCGCCCGUCGCUACUACCGAUUGAAUGGCUUAGUGAGGCUUCCGGAUUGGUUUAGAGAAGGGGGCAACUCCAUCUUGGAACCGAGAAGCUAGUCAAACUUGGUCAUUUAGAGGAAGUAAAAGUCGUAACA
rnacentral:rRNA from 1 species